rnacentral:rRNA from 1 species
AUAUUAAUAAGCGGAGGAAAAGAAACUAACAAGGAUUCCCCUAGUAACGGCGAGUGAAGCGGGAAGAGCUCAGAUUUAAAAUCUCCAAGGUUCCCUUGGCGAAUUGUAGUUUAAAGAGGUGUUUUCGGGAGCGUCUCAGACAUAAGUCCCUUGGAACAGGGCAUCAUAGAGGGUGAGAAUCCCGUCUGUGGCCCGAGAUACGCUUCCAUGUGAUACACUUUCAAAGAGUCGGGUUGUUUGGGAAUGCAGCCCAAAAUGGGUGGUAGAUAUCAUCUAAAGCUAAAUAUUGGCGAGAGACCGAUAGCGCACAAGUA